rnacentral:rRNA from 1 species
GAGUUUGAUCAUGGCUCAGAACGAACGCUGGCGGCGUGCUUAAUACAUGCAAGUCGAGCGAGGUUAUGUUGUGGACAUCCUUCGGGAGGGAAGCGAUAUGACCUAGCGGCGGACGGGUGAGUAACGCGUGGGCAAUCUGCCCUAAAGCUCGGGAUAACAGUGGGAAACUGCUGCUAAUACCGGAUGACUUUAUCGGGAGGCAUCUUCGGAUAAAGAAAGUGGUCAAUCAUUGAUUGACCAGCGCUUUAGGAUGAGCCCGCGUCCCAUUAGCUAGUUGGUGAGGUAACGGCUCACCAAGGCGACGAUGGGUAGCCGGCCUGAGAGGGUGAACGGCCACACUGGGACUGAGACACGGCCCAGACUCCUACGGGAGGCAGCAGUAGGGAAUAUUGCGCAAUGGAGGGAACUCUGACGCAGCGACGCCGCGUGAGCGAUGAAGGUUUUCGGAUCGUAAAGCUCUGUCCUUGGGGAAGAAGGGUGCGAAGCAUCUUGACGGUA